GGGCCGGUAGCUCAGCUAGGUAGAGCGAUGGCGUGGUGCACGUCGAGGCUUUUAACCCAUAGGUCCCGGGUUCAAAUCCCGGCCGGCCCG
rnacentral:tRNA from 2 species